rnacentral:lncRNA from 1 species
UGGACCCCAAAUGGCCUUGGUCACGUUUUGUUUCUGUUUUGUCAUUUCCAGCUGAAUCUCCCACAACCUCAGCCCUGCUCUCCUUGCUCUGCCCUCUCCUCCCCACAGCUUCUUUGCAGAUAACAUCCUGGCCGCAUUAUGCAACUGGAUCCAUAUUAUCCGGGGGAAACUUACCCUCCUCUGCUCUAAAUCUUCCUUUUCCUUCUGGCUUUGGAGAAAGAGGAGCUCCCUUUCCAUCCAUAAGGUCAACCUCUUCCUGUUUCCUUUCUUCAUUCUUCGUUAUUUUCCGCUCCUCAGUUUUGGAUUCUUCUCUCGGUCAACAACUACAUCCGAAUUCUUCCAGCUGUAACCAACAAAUGAAAGGCCUCGUGCACCAAGGCCGCCCCCGCGUGCGCCCCCCACCCCCCAGCUGCGUGGCCUCGGCCUGGAGCACAGCGGCGUUGCCACUUUCCUGCACUCCGUGGGGGAGAAGGGCGGUGCACACUACCCAGAAGUGGAAUGUGCAUUUCACAGCAAAUGACCAAUUUAAGGAGAAAAUUAAAGCAGAAAAGCGGAUGAGGAAGCUGAGGCCUGGUGCUGCUAGAGGGCUUGGUCAGGAGGCGGAGGUGGAGGCGGUGGAAGGCUGUUCCCCUGCGGGGAAAUCCCAAAUUGUCAGCAACCCAUCACUCCCAGGCAAAAUCCAAACUGCUGGGCUGUCCCCUUGGACUGAUUUAUGUGCUGGUUUUGGGGGACAGCUAUCCUCUGCACAGUGGACACCAGGCUCUGUUAAGCUGACUUCUAACGUGCUUUGAGCAUCCUAACCUGUGAGAAGAACUGUGUGAAAAAUUCUGGAGCUUUCCUCUCCCAGGGACAACUGGAGGGAGGCCUUGAGGAUUGAAAGAGAAAGCGUCGGAACCCCUGCCCUCGGCUGCUUCCUGAGGAGCCUCUCAGGCUUGUCAUCCCAAGUGCUAGUCCUGAAGAGAAAAGAAGGUAUCCCCAGGUGCCCCGCGCAUCCCCUCAGCAAGGACUGUGGUGCCCCGUCCUCUCCAUCGUCCUCCAGCCUCUGGGACCCAGCUCCAGCCCUCCUGCACCAUACUGGCCUUGCAUAAAUGUCUCAGAUGCAGGGAAGAAGCUUUGGCCACUUCUGAGACCUGUGACCCUCUUCCGAGCAGGGCGUGGAGAACGCUUUGCUGACUGUGGGCGAGUUUGCAGGUUGCUGUGAUGGGUCUAUAGUGAUGACCCCAGGCCGCUCCUGCUGAGGACACCCGGGACGCACAAGCACGAGCUGGGCGACCCCGGCCACCCGAGGGCUUGGCUGCUGUGCGACCGGACAGGAGAAAGGGGCGGGCCUGAGCGUGCAGUCCGUGGGAAGGGACUCUCCCUGGGCAAGGCCUGGAGAAACGUCCUUGCUGAAUAAAUGAUGCUCUUUUCUCUGAAUGUGUGGAGCAACACGCAGCUGAUUAUGAAUUUCAACGUCCCAGAUACCUCACAGGGAAGAGGGUAAAUGUAAGAAUCAUAGAGAGGAGACAUCUCAUCAAAACCCAGCACGUUCUCCUGGGGGACAAUCUGCUCCACGGGAACCCGGAGCUUUGUCCGUUUUGUUCACUAGAUGCACGGCGUAUGCUCCAUACAUGUGCUGAGUGUUGUGUAAUCCUGGUCAACAGAUUAGUGAGUUCUGGCUUGGGUAAGCUGGGGUGGGCUCUGAUGGUCUAAUCACCACCACAACAGAGCCAAACUCAAGUUUCUGGAUGGACAAGUCUGGAAUAUGGUGCUUCUAUCAGGACACCGUGGGGUCAGCAUCUGUUCUGCCCCAGAGCCAGCCACUUCCUCAGUGGGGUGGGUUCAUUCUGCAACAGACCUGGUUUUGGUCUGCCCUGCCCAUGCUCCGUGAGGCCACUGUUCCCCCGCAGACAUGCCAGUCGCCGGUGUCCAUGCUGUGUGGACGCCCCUCUGCCUCCUGAGGUCCCUGGGGCGGCUCGGCUCCCAGUGGCUGCUACGUCUGUGUGGUGUCCAGUUCAGCAUCUCUCACUCUGGGUGAGAUGGGCAGGGCCGUCCUGAGACAGGACAGGUGCGCUCCUGCCGCUGACACCAGAGUCCCAAAGGUGCCUGUCCAUGGGGUGGCGGGGACCAUGCCCAGUGACGCAGGAGCUGCACUCAAAACCAGUAAAUGCGGCCGGGUGUGGGGGCUCACACCUGUAAUCCCAGCACUUUGGGAGGUGGAGGUGGGUGGAUCACGAGGUCAAGAGAUCGAAACCAUCCUGGCCAACAUGGUGAAACCCCGUCUCUACUAAAAAUACAAAAAUUAGCUGACCGUGGUGGCGCACGUCUGUGGUCCCAACUACUCGGGAGGCUGAGGCAGGAGAAUCACUUGAACCCGGGAGGAGGAGCUUGCAGUGAGCCAAGAUCACUGCACUCCAACCUGGCAACAGAGCGAGACUCCAUCAAAAAAAAAAGAAAACCAUUAAAUGCUGAUCAAACUAGCAUGAGUCAUGUCAGUGUUUUGAAGGCAGCUGAGUCAGUCAUCUUUGUCUGGAUCCCCUGUGUUUGUAAUAAAAGACUGGUUUUCCUUACAUGUGAGUGAGGAACUGGUUCUGGGAUGACAGAAAUGGCAGAACACAACAGAGGCAAGAGCUGUCCGGCUGUGAGGACCCGGCUUUCUGUGGCGGGUGCCUCAGAAAGGCCCUUUGCACCUUCAGUCUAUCAGUAGGACCAAAGAUUUCCCUUCUAGAGGAUUAAUGGCUACAUAAAAAUAAUACUUUUAGAGGCUACAGAAUCCAAUGACAAUUUUCUCCAGAUGACUUUCCAAAAGUCCUUAGAAAAUGUGAAUUUCUGAAUAGACUUUAGAACAGGUGUCACUGAGAAGACUGGAAGUAGCCUUCUCCAGGUUUAACUUUUUUUUAAUCGUGGAAUUUCAAGUAAGGUGAUCUGGGUUCAGAAUUUCAAUGGCAUGAUCUUAGGUGAAUCAUCUGGCUUGUCUAAACCUGAGUUCCCUCUUUUGCAAACUAAGAAAGUGACUCAUAUCGGCUAUAUGCAAUUUGAAAUGAUUUGUACAAUGAUCAAUGCUAAAAUGUGCCAGCAAAAUGCUCUGAAUGACAUCACAUCGGUGAAUUAUCUAAUAAAACAAUAGUGGUCCAUGUCUAGGACAUGAGGUCCCUCAACUUCUCUCAUUUACAUAUUGGGCCCUUAUCCUUCAAUAUGUGUAGUCAGAAUUCAUGGCUAUUGUCCUUAAUUCUUUCUUAAAGGUAGUAACAAUAAUGUCAAUUCAUUUCUUGAAUAAUGAAAAAGCAAUUUGCCAUUUAUAUGGCGUUACUGAAUGGUUCACAGACUAUAAUGGUGGACGCAGUUGAUGUUAAAGAGACUUCGGUUAGAAUUCCAUCUCAGCUGCUUCCUAGCUCUGUUACCUUGGGCAUAUCCCUUGGCCUCUUCACCUUCCAUUUCUGCGUCUGCAAAAUGGACAUAUUCAUACCGAUUUGGCAAGAUUCCUGCUGGGGGUUAGUGAUCGAGAUCAUCUGCGUGCAACCUCCUAACUGGAUCUCCAGGGCGUCUGGUCUUGUGCAGAGCUCACGUCUCUGUGGGCUCCUUGUCUUGCCUCUCAAAGCUAGAUGUUAGGUGUCAGGAGGUGUUGGCCUCCUGAGAGCUAGAAUAUUGCCUUCCAAAUUUUCCAAAGCUUUUUAACAUAUUAGGAAGCCUAAGAUAUGUUAGCCAGAGUGAUAAGUCAAUUUCACUAAUCUCGAAGGUUUGAAAAAAAAAAUUGCUGAUUCAUUUUGUUUGCUGAGUACCGACUUUCAGUAUUUUUGUGCUAAAGAAGAUUUAUUUAACAUUUUAUCAUUUAAUUAAAGAAAGCAUGUUUAUAAUCAGUUUGUGCCUGUUCCAAAUUGUCCCUUUGUCUUCCCAGACUUUGUCAGAAAUUCCCUUUCUUGGAGGAAAAAUGCUUUUGUGCAGGCAACAUUUCUUAGAUGUUUUUGUACUUAGAGUUUGACUUGAGGAUAUUUAUGGACGGGUCUCAGAUUUCAGAGUGUGGGAGGAGAAGAGGUCUGGCCAGUGAGGAGGCGGCUUUGCUCGGGUCAUUUGCAUCUGGCCGCCCAGGUUCCAGCAGUUCCAUCACGUUGGUGAAAUAUAUCCUUUGGGGGAUGUCACGGCUUUGGUUAAGAUUUCCUUUUACUCCUUAGCUGCUAGCGCAGUUUUGAUGAUAGCUGUUUCACAUGUGCGUGUGGCACUCGUGUGGGUAGAGCUGUCAGAAGACUAUAAAGUCUCAACCAUCCUAUGAUUGCUUGCACCUGAGGAAGACGGAAUGACAAUGAAUAUUCUGUGCCAUUGUAUUCCUUUGCUCAUUCAUACACUGAUUUAUGGCUCCUUGUUUUCCUUUGGCUCAAGGUGACAUCAGUACCUACAAAAAAGGAAAAUAUAUGUGAGAAUGCUUUUCUAGCAAAAUCCUUGUUUGCAAAGGUAAUGAUGUUCUAAAACUGGAAAAAAUGCAACUCAGGCAAAAGGAAGGAAGAAACUCU